UACGUAGGGCGCGAGCGUUGUCCGGAAUUAUUGGGCGUAAAGGGCUCGUAGGCGGUUUGUCGCGUCGGGAGUGAAAACCCAGGGCUUAACUCUGGGCUUGCUUUCGAUACGGGCAGACUAGAGGUAUGCAGGGGAGAACGGAAUUCCUGGUGUAGCGGUGAAAUGCGCAGAUAUCAGGAGGAACACCGGUGGCGAAGGCGGG
rnacentral:rRNA from 1 species